AAUGUCGCCUCCGGAAAAAGCAACCUGUCCACAGACUCCCUGUCUAAAUACUCACCUUUACACAGAGGAACAGCUUCUUCACAUUUAGUCUCUGUCUUUUAGAACAACUCCCGACAGUAAAUCCACGACUCGCAUUUUUUUUUUUAUUUUUCAUUUCUUUCUCUCUUUUUUUCCUGCUUUAAUUUUUAUUUUUCUUUCUUUUUUGGGGUCGCAUUCCGGGGAGAUUAAUUUCAGAAUGCUGCUGCUCUCUCGGUCGCGCUGUAUGAUAACAGACAUUGUAGUUAAAUGUGUCGGCAGUUUUGACGCUGAGGCUGCGGCUGCGUCUGGCGGUGUGCGCCUCAGCCUGCUCCGGCUUUCCCGGGCGAGAUAGCCCGUUUGUCCGCGCGCUUCCCUGAUCGCGCUGCCGGGAAGGCGGCAGCCGCAGCAGCUCGAAAGACUGGAAAAGACAAACAACAAAGCUUCUUGGAGUGAGAGAGAGAAAAAAACUUGAGGAAAUGAAUGAAUUUUUGAGAGAAAAAUCAGAGAGAAAGAAAGCGAUGUGUUGCAGCUUCGGGAACAUUGAAUGAGAGGAGCAGAAAGUACCUGCAGGCCUUCUCCUACAGGAGCUCCUUCAACAUCUCCAGCUACAUAUGAACAACCCUCAUCAGAAAAACCUUUAAGCUGCGAUUUGAGUUGUUUAAAUGUUAUUUAGUUUGUCUAAUUUAUUUAAUCUCCAAAACACCCGGAUAUGUAAUUAUCUUUUAUUAACUAUAGGCUAUACAAAGAGAAAAAUAUUUCAAAUGAACCAGAAACAGCGACGCACUAAAAAGUUUGGUCGCGACGACACGGCAGGAUCGAAAAUAAUGUUUUCUAAAAAUGUAAAUUAAUUUCAGUCUUGUGAUGUCGCAAAAAAAAAAAAGCGGAGAA